CCCUGGAAAGGAAUGUGUCAUUUGUUUGUCAGAGCCGCGGGAUACGACUGUCCUUCCCUGCCGACACAUGUGUAUGUGUAGUGGUUGUGCUAAGGUGCUGAGGUUCCAGACAAAUAGAUGCCCGAUUUGCAGACAACCCGUCGAUAGGCUCUUAGAGAUAAGGGUCAGCAAUGGGCCAGAAGAGUAAAGAACUGUACUACGCCAUCAUCUCGCCAUUGAAGCAAACUCUGUACAGCAGUACGUUUAUUGCAUUUCUUUUUGCAUCAUCUGAAUUGAUUCUCUUUCCCGUGAAUUUUCUACCUGCUGUUCUAAAUAAUCAAGAAAGGAAAGCUUUAAGCUUAUUAACCAGCACAUUGUGAUAUUGUGCCAAGGAAAAAG
rnacentral:misc_RNA from 1 species